UGUGAAAGAUUUAUUGCCUAGAGAUGAGCUCGCGUCUGAUUAGCUAGUAGGUGUGGUAAUGGCGCACCUAGGCGACGAUCAGUAACUGGUCUGAGAGGAUGACCAGUCACACUGGGACUGAGACACGGCCCAGACUCCUACGGGAGGCAGCAGUGGGGAAUUUUCCGCAAUGGGCGAAAGCCUGACGGAGCAAUAC
rnacentral:rRNA from 1 species